AGUCUGAUCAUGGCUCAGGGCGAACGCCUGGCGGCGUGCUUAACACAUGCAAGUCGAACGAUGAAACCUAGCUUGCUAGGUGGAUUAGUCGGCGAACGGGUGAGUAAUACGUGAGUGACCUACCUUUGACUCUGGGAUAAGCCCGGGAAACUGGGUCUAAUACCGGAUACGACCAAUCUCCGCAUGGGGUGUUGGUGGAAAGCGUUAUGGAGUGGUUUUAGAUGGGCUCACGGCCUAUCAGCUUGUUGGUGAGGUAAUGGCUUACCAAGGCGACGACGGGUAGCCGGCCUGAGAGGGUGACCGGCCACACUGGGACUGAGACACGGCCCAGACUCCUACGGGAGGCAGCAGUGGGGAAUAUUGCACAAUGGGCGCAAGCCUGAUGCAGCGACGCCCGCGUGAGGGAUGACGGCCUUCGGGUUGUAAACCUCUGUUAGCAUCGAAGAAGCGAAAGUGACGGUAGGUGCAGAGAAAGCGCCGGCUAACUACGUGCCAGCAGCCGCGGUAAUACGUAGGGCGCGAGCGUUGUCCGGAAUUAUUGGGCGUAAAGAGCUUGUAGGCGGUUGGUCGCGUCUGCUGUGAAAGGCUGGGGCUUAACCCUGGUUUUGCAGUGGGUACGGGCUAACUAGAGUGCAGUAGGGGAGACUGGAAUUCCUGGUGUAGCGGUGGAAUGCGCAGAUAUCAGGAGGAACACCGAUGGCGAAGGCAGGUCUCUGGGCUGUAACUGACGCUGAGAAGCGAAAGCAUGGGGAGCGAACAGGAUUAGAUACCCUGGUAGUCCAUGCCGUAAACGUUGGGCACUAGGUGUGGGGGACAUUCCACGUUUUCCGCGCCGUAGCUAACGCAUUAAGUGCCCCGCCUGGGGAGUACGGCCGCAAGGCUAAAACUCAAAGAAAUUGACGGGGGCCCGCACAAGCGGCGGAGCAUGCGGAUUAAUUCGAUGCAACGCGAAGAACCUUACCAAGGCUUGACAUAUACUGGACUGCGUCAGAGAUGGCGUUUCCCUUCGGGGCUGGUAUACAGGUGGUGCAUGGUUGUCGUCAGCUCGUGUCGUGAGAUGUUGGGUUAAGUCCCGCAACGAGCGCAACCCUCGUUCUAUGUUGCCAGCACGUGAUGGUGGGGACUCGUAGGAGACUGCCGGGGUCAACUCGGAGGAAGGUGGGGAUGACGUCAAAUCAUCAUGCCCCUUAUGUCUUGGGCUUCACGCAUGCUACAAUGGCCGGUACAGAGGGUUGCGAUACUGUGAGGUGGAGCUAAUCCCUAAAAGCCGGUCUCAGUUCGGAUUGGGGUCUGCAACUCGACCCCAUGAAGUCGGAGUCGCUAGUAAUCGCAGAUCAGCAACGCUGCGGUGAAUACGUUCCCGGGCCUUGUACACACCGCCCGUCA
rnacentral:rRNA from 1 species